GGUAGUUGCUUCAGUGACAAACAAUUUUUCAGGUCUAGCCUCUCAAGUUUCUCAAGAUGGAAUAUAGAAUCAGGUAGUUUCACUAUGGCAGUUCCAUCAAGCAGAAGCUCUGUUAAAGACUCCAUGGGCCUCAAGUCAUCAGAUUCCCGCAUCUCCUCAGGUUAAAGUGACGUAACAUGCUAAGAUUCCCAAUCGAUUUAUGGAUCUCUUUCAGUUCAUUACAACCUUCAAGAACCAGUUUUACCAAUUUAGGGUGCUCAGAGAAAUCAGGUGUAGCAGUUAGGUUAUAGCAACGAUAGAGAUUCAGAACUUGCAGCUCUCCAGUCAUCUGUUCAACAACAAAAUCUUCAGCUAUAAGCAAUGCAGAGGACUAUUUGAAGACCACUGGUGCUGCUCUUUGAAGUUGUUAAGUUGGAACCUAAUUCCCCAGUGCAACCAUGACUGUGGAUUCUCUGUUUUAAGGUAAAGGCCAGCAACUAAAUUUCAGUCAUUACUCAUCAUCUGGCCAUCAAAGUGGGCUGAAAAUUUGAAGGUUGAAAGAACUAUACGCAUGCUGCCAUUGACCUUAGCUAGAGUCUGAUCUGAUAUGUGGUCCGAGAGUUCCGGAUGGUUAAUAAUUCUAAUACAUAGUUUCUAUUUAUGUAUUGCUGCUGUGUUGGAGAAACCAUCCAUCAGAUUGUGGUAGAUUUUUUAAGUUUUCAACUGCUGGUACUAGCCUCCCUUCAAUUAAAAUUUUGGGUUAUUGUGCCUUUAGGAUUGAGGAAUACUGUCAACUUCUAAAUCUGGCCUUGAGUUUCUAUUUUGUGUAUUGCUGAUCUGGAACAUCUGGCUAUUGGAAUGAAUUGGUUUUUCAUAUGUUGA